rnacentral:rRNA from 1 species
GAUGAGCGCUGGCGGCGUGCCUAAUACAUGCAAGUCGAGCGAACAGACGAGGAGCUUGCUCCUCUGACGUUAGCGGCGGACGGGUGAGUAACACGUGGAUAACCUACCUAUAAGACUGGGAUAACUUCGGGAAACCGGAGCUAAUACCGGAUAAUAUAUUGAACCGCAUGGUUCAAUAGUGAAAGACGGUUUUGCUGUCACUUAUAGAUGGAUCCGCGCCGCAUUAGCUAGUUGGUAAGGUAACGGCUUACCAAGGCAACGAUGCGUAGCCGACCUGAGAGGGUGAUCGGCCACACUGGAACUGAGACACGGUCCAGACUCCUACGGGAGGCAGCAGUAGGGAAUCUUCCGCAAUGGGCGAAAGCGUGACGGAGCAACGCCGCGUGAGUGAUGAAGGUCUUCGGAUCGUAAAACUCUGUUAUUAGGGAAGAACAAAUGUGUAAGUAACUAUGCACGUCUUGACGGUACCUAAUCAGAAAGCCACGGCUAACUACGUG